rnacentral:rRNA from 1 species
GAAGAUUACAUUUCUAGAAUUAGUUAGAGGGUACUGGAAUUCAAUGUGUAGUGGUGGAAUACGUAGAUAUAUUGAGGAACACCAGAGGCUAAGGCGAGUGCCUGGAACAUAAUUGACGCUGAGGCUUGAAAGCGUGGGUAGCAAAUGGGAUUAGAUACCCCAGUAGUCCACGCCGUAAACGAUGGGUAUUAGUCAUUUGGAUUUAAGACUGAGUGAUGUAGCUAACGCGUUAAAUACCCCGCCUGGGUAGUAUAUAUGCAAAUAUGAAACUCAAAGAAAUUGACGGGGACCUGAACAAGUGGUGGAGCAUGUUGCUUAAUUCGAUAAUACACGCAAAACCUUACCGAGGCUUGCAAUCCUCCGCAACGCUAUAUAAAUAUAGUUGAGGUUAUCGGAGUGACAGGUGGUGCAUGGCUGUCGUCAGCUCGUGUCUUGAGAUGUUUGGUUAAGUCCCGUAACGAGCGCAACCCUUCUUAUUAGUUGCUUAGUUCUAAUAAGACUGAAUCGUAAGAUCUAGGAAGGAUGGGGCCAAGUCAAGUCAUCAUGCCCCUUAUGCCUCGGGCUGCAAACGUGCUACAAUGGUAGAUACAAUGUGUGACAAUCUAGCGAUAGUGAGUCAAUCACCUAAAGUCUAUCUCAGUCCGGAUAAAAGGCUGCAAUUCGCCUAUUUGAAGAUGGAAUCACUAGUAAUCCUGUGUCAGCUAUAUCAGGGUGAAUACGUUCCCAGGUCUUGUACACACCGCCCGUCAAACUACGAAAGAAAGUACUAAUUAAAACCGUAUUUAAUUACGUCUAGAUU